rnacentral:rRNA from 1 species
GAAACCAACAGGGAUUGCCUUAGUAGCGGCGAGUGAAGCGGCAAAAGCUCAAAUUUGAAAUCUGGCACUUUCAGUGUCCGAGUUGUAAUUUGAAGAAGGUAUCUUUGGGUCUGGCUCUUGUCUAUGUUUCUUGGAACAGAACGUCACAGAGGGUGAGAAUCCCGUGCGAUGAGAUGUCCCAGACCUAUGUAAAGUUCCUUCGAAGAGUCGAGUUGUUUGGGAAUGCAGCUCUAAGUGGGUGGUAAAUUCCAUCUAAAGCUAAAUAUUGGCGAGAGACCGAUAGCGAACAAGUACAGUGAUGGAAAGAUGAAAAGAACUUUGAAAAGAGAGUGAAAAAGUACGUGAAAUUGUUGAAAGGGAAGGGCUUGAGAUCAGACUUGGUAUUUUGUAUGUUACUCUCUCGGGGGUGGCCUCUACAGUUUACCGGGCCAGCAUCAGUUUGAGCGGUAGGAUAAGUGCAAAGAAAUGUGGCACUGCUUCGGUAGUGUGUUAUAGUCUUUGUCGAUACUGCCAGCUUAGACUGAGGACUGCGGCUUCGGCCUAGGAUGUUGGCAUAAUGAUCUUAAGUC